AUAUGAUUAUUACUUUUUUUAUUUUAAAAGUUGUGGUUGAGUUUUGGGGUGACACCUUCAAAAUCCGCCCCGGGUGUCACCUAUGCUAGCUACGCCACUGACUCCGUUCAACCAAAUCAACUUAAACCAACGGCUUAAAAAAAGUUGUAUUACAAAUUUGGCGUAUUUUCGUUAAACUACUACUAGAUUAAAGGAAGUUCUUCGCAGCACAAUCGCAAUGGUAAGGCAGUAGAAUCAGCUGAUUGUGCAGUAGCAACCACAGCCGGCAAGAAUGCAGCAGGGUUGCACAAAAUUACUGCGUUUACGAACUAACCCAAUAUUACUUGAGGAGGAGAGCAAUGCAUCCGAUAAUGCCGUGGCCAGAAUUGAAAGGAGAAGAUUGCGAGAUAUGUGCAAUCCUUUUGAGAUGAGUGCCAAAUUGUAAGAAAUUGAGUUGAAAGUGAUAAAUUGUAUUUUUUUUUUAAUAAUUUAUUUACUUAUUUAGGUUCAAAAAAACUUUACACUUAACAAGGACGAUUUCAAGUAUGGCCUAGAUAGUUUUGUGGAAGAAACUCGAGCACGUACUUUGACGUCUUUAUCUCCGCUUAAUCGAAUAGUUGCUGCUUUGAGAUUUUUUGCGGAAGGCAGUUACCAACCAACGUAGCAAUGGGUCAGUCAACAGUGUCAAAGUCACUAUCGAAUUUUCUCGAUGUCAUGGAAAGAAAGCUUUGCCGUGAGUGGAUAAAAUUUGAGCAGACCGACGAGGAAAAAAAAACAAACAGAACAGGAGUUUUAUGCGAAGGCAGGCUUCCCAGGAGUCAUAAUGUGCGUUGAUGGUACGCAUAUAAAAAUAAUCAAACCGUCUGAAGAGGGUUUUCUAUACUACAAUAGAAAAGGAUUUUACAGCAUCAAUGCUAUGGUGGUAGCCGAUAACAGAUUACGUAUAAAAAGCAUUGAUGCGCGGUAUCCUGGAUACAUAUAUCACGACUCGCAUGUAUGGGGAUUGAGCAAGUUGAACUUUCAGAUUUAACGGCGAUAUCGAGAAGGUGAAAGAAAUACAUGGCUGUUAGGCGAUGCUGGGUAUCCAUUGCAGCCUUGGCUAAUAACUCCGUAUCGAUCCUUAAAUCAUGGCAGCCAAAAAAGUGGUUACAAUACUCCAAAACGAGAAAUAUUAUAGAGCGGACAAUUGGGGUCUUGAAGAAUCGUUUUCGAUGCUUGUUGGGUGCUCGAGAACUACACUACUCGCCGGAAAAAGCAUGUCAAAUUGUAAACGUUGCUUGUACCCUCCAUAAUAUUUGCAUCUACUACAAAGUGGAUGAUUUGAGCGUAAAUGAAUUCGAUUUUGAAAACCGUGAGGAGGAGAAAGAAGAACAAAGCAAUGACCCAAAUUAUGCUUCCAUAGCAAACCGUAUUAGAGACAACAUACUUUCUUCUUCUUCUUCUUGAUUGGCGUAGUCACCGCUUACGCAA